rnacentral:rRNA from 1 species
UACGGAGGAUCCAAGCGUUAUCCGGAUUUAUUGGGUUUAAAGGGUGCGUAGGCGGAUUGAUAAGUUAGAGGUGAAAUGUCCGAGCUUAACUCGGGAACUGCCUCUAAUACUGUUGAUCUAGAGAGUAGAUGCGGCAGGCGGAAUGUAUGGUGUAGCGGUGAAAUGCUUAGAGAUCAUACAGAACACCGAUUGCGAAGGCAGCUUACCAAUCUAUAUCUGACGUUGAGGCACGAAAGCGUGGGGAGCAAACAGG